UCCAGAUUUUACCACGUUAUUUAUUUUAAACCCCUGGGUUUGAUUAAAUUGUCUGAAUAUAUUUGAGUUGGGUGCUAAGCCCUGCAUCAAUGUGAGCGGUUCCUGCAGGGUAGCUGACGGCAUUCCAGAAAUACACUCCCUUCCCUUCCUAAAGCUUUGUCCUUUCUCAGACCCGCAAGCACCAAAGACGUCCCGGCUCUGGCUGCCCUGGCUAGGGUCCUCCAUGGAGCAGUGUGUCUUGAAGUACUCGAGGAAGUCACCGCAGCGUGAGCACGGAUGCUACCUCCAAACCCAGCCAGCUGCUUCACAGUGCAGGGCCAAGGAACUGGUCCAAAAUUCAACCGAGACCUUCUGGCCGCCAGGUCCGGAGCAUUAACAGUCAGGAGGUCAUCUGGUUCCUUGUCCUGUGCUGCAACGACAAGAGGAGGAAGGCAUUCCUCAGUCCGCGUGGGAUUUCCCCUUGGAAACUGCCUCACCUUGCUGGUUGGAGAGGGGAAAUAAGAUAAAAAAUGCUUCUCUGAAGUUUGAAUUUGAGACCUUCUCCUGGGCCUCACACAUCUGCAGAGAUCAGAGCCCCAGUGCUGUCGUGCUGCCUCUUUGAACUGGGGGGAGUUUCACCCCAGGCAGGAAUAUACACCUGGCUUCAUGGAAUCCCAAAGAAACGUGCCACAGGCAAUAAUAUUUAUUGGUGAGGCACUGCCAAACCUCCCCAGUUGUCCAUGCACAAAAGGGGUCAGGUCAUCCCUUGCACAGCCCUGCAACUGCAGCCUUGCUUGGUGCAGGGUUUCUUCCGAAGAUAUGAGGGUUUUGUCCUGCAAGAGGAGCUGCGUGGGUUUUGCAAUCCAGAUACUCAGGUAACUCGGUGCCUGAGUGGAUCGUUAGAGUCCAGGAUGACUUGGGAGACACAUGGAAGCCAACAUCCACCUGCCAGCUGUAGACGGGGUCCAUCCGCUCCGAGGCAGUAACGUCUCAGGUCCAGGCAGGCACCCUGCAGUGGCAUCCUGGCAGGUGACUUGAGAUCUCCAUCAGAUGUAAGAUAGUGGAGGUCUCCAGAGACUUUUCCUACACAAGUACUCCAGUGGCCAAAUUCCUCUGCGGUGCUGACAGACCUCUUACAGCCUCCGGAUUUAAGCAGCGGUACCGAAGGUGUCCUCGGAUGGCCCAGGAUUUCCUCGAGUAUCUGGCAGUGGCAGGUAAAGAGUUAACAAUGGAAAAAUAUGUAUAGGUUUAGGGGAAGGAUUUUUUUUUAAUAUAUGUUUUUUGCUUCACAUCUGAGCUCUUGGCACAGCUUCCCCCGCCUCUAAUCACACCUUAUAACUGCAGUUUAAAUCAAAACCCGCAAGGCCGGACCAGUUGGAUCCAGUUUCUAUUAAGCCAUUUGAUCUGCGACUGAGCAGACUUGCUGUCACCAAGCCAGUCCCCUGCCUGUGCCUCUACAUAAUGAGGCUCCCGUGGCAGUCCGCCACUCCCCACUCAGUGCGAGGGAAUCCAUGAAAUACUGGUCAGGAUACGUCCCCCCUGCCCCGGCCCUUUCCUCCUCUUGCCCCCUCCCCACGCAGCCGGAUGAUGAAGCACGGCCGGCGGCUGCACCGGCGCGGGGAGAAGGCCCUUGCCGGACUGUGGAGCACAGCUUAAAAGCUUUGGCCAUUGAAUAGGUCAGAAAAAAAAAAAAAUUUCCAAGUUAAAGCAAAAUCCCCUUUUUGUUCCUCACUGUAAUUUGUUUGAACAUUAACCCCUUGAAGACGUUGGUCAGUGGUUUUGCUAUUAAGAGUGCUAUGCAGCCGUGAACAGGUACGCGGCUGCCUUUAAUAGAAGAUGAGAUCUCAUCCUUUCCGUGGUGCAUCGCUUCUCUGACAGAUGAUGGGUAGGAGCCACAGCUGAUAAAAUUGCCUGGGCCUCGUUUUGCUCUCUGCUGGUAUAAGUAAGGGAGCUGGUCUCCUGAUUUUAUAGACUUAAAAAAAAAGUCACCGUUUAUUCCUUAAAUUAACACAUCCACUGAUGCACUCAUUAGCAAUAGGACGGAAACGGUCUCCGACACAAUCUCAGCUGCCUCUGUCCUGACCAUCACUGCUCCUGGGACCUCCCAUGUACACAGGGCAGGAGGACAGAGGGCAGCAAUGGCUCGGUGUCCAGGACUGCAUCACUGGGCUUCUGGUUUAGCUCCUUUUACAGCCAUUUUGAACACUGAAUAAAACAGGAAAAAUAGCAUGCAGCCAUAUAAAUCCAAGCCAGUCUCCCAAGUCAGAUGUGUUUGAAAGUGGAAUCGCAGCUGCAACAGGGAAGGAGUAUAUUCACUAGCAUUUCCUGCUUUUUUUUAAUGGAUCUUUUAAAAAGCACUGGUUUGGGUGGAAAGUUUGUUUGGGUGAAAUUACUGAGGACUUAUUCUAUUAAUGGGAUUUUUUUUCUUUCCCUUCAUGUGUCACUGAACCCCACAAGACGGCCACAGACUCCGAACUCUCAAUCCCCAUUCGGGGACUCUGAGCUUCUGAGGUUGAUUUUACCACUUCAGUAAUAAGGAAAAUUAUGUGGAUUGGUGGCAGAAGCAAGUUAUAUGAUGAGUGGACAGAAACACAGCUCCAGAGCCAGGUUACUGCUUGAGAGAAGGCUGCGGCAAGCAAUGGCGCCCAGCUUUCCCAGCAGAGACGGCUGCAGUGAAAUAACCCAAGAGGUCCUGGUUAAAAUUAAUUGAGUUAAUUAAUUGAGCAGCUGUGACAUGGCUAUUUUCUCUGUGUGCCCUGGCUCUCACUUCUCCUCUCCAAGGAGAGGAAGUGCCAUUGAACCCGUUUAUUGGCAAUGCUGGUUCUCCGAAGCAGAGGUUGUCACCCUCAGUGUCCCGUUGGCUCUGAGAUGCUCAUUGCAGACACCUGAGCCUCAGCUGGGACUGAGGACUUUUAGACCUUGUGACAACAUUUUCUAGAUGCAGAGAAUUGAGAGAAGGAAAUGUUCUGGAGAGUUUCUAUGUUAGUUUCCGCAGGGGGAUGGCAUUGCCUUCCCUCCGCCCGCUGCAAGCCCAGGAUGGGGACAUAGUGCUGGGUGGCACCGGUGAGGGGAGGGCAGGCUGGGUGCACAGUGCUUUUCAGACUCCUCAAAAAUGAUGUAAACCCAGAUCUUCACUUUCAUUUUGUUACAUGCAGCAGGUUAGGUCCUGCUCUGGAAGUCACUGACUUGUGGAUCAGCCAUGUAGCUGAUAGAAAUGCUGCCUCUGGCCCAUGGAAGGGUUUGGGGUUUUUUUUUUUUGGGGGGGGGGGGUGUCAGCCAACCCAUUCAAGAAAGAAUAAGCUUUUAUUUGCUUAGCCACCACUUUUUGCAGCAUGUGUCAAGCUAACAAUGGCUGGGUAUUCCUCCCAGGCUGUAAAAUAAGCUCAUUCAUCCUUUCUCUCUAUUUGUUGUAGGGAGAAAAAAACAAAACAAAACAAACAAACAAAAAAAAAAAACCAAAAAAAAAGACAAGAAGAAUCUACAGAGCUACUGUUUUCUUUCCAGAUGGAGCCUGUGGUAUGGCAGCAGCAGCCAAGCACCGCUCUGGGUCAAACAUGAAGGCGACGUGCCGUUUGUGUUCACUCAGCCGCAUGGAUGCAGAGCAAGGGAGAAGGCAGGAAUGUCAGUGGGAGUCUCUUGUGGGCUUCUCCUCACCAAGGGGAGCCUCCCUCCCACCGCCCUUGCUGGAGCCCUGUAAUUUCCAGCAGGAUCAUGUUAACCACGGACCGUGCAGGGAGCAGGGCUGGGGUUUCAGUCCAUGGCCACCUUCCCAUUGAGUCAGGGCUGAAUCACCACCCUGCGCCGAGCGCAAAGGGCCACGGUGCUGCUUGAGAUGCCGUUUUGGUGGUGGUGGGAGCUCAGUCUGCAUCAAGUGUGGGGAUGGACGGGGGAUGCUGUCACUUGGCAUGUGGUGGUGGCCUGAUGUUGCGUGGCAUUGAGAUGCAGCAGAAGCCAGCGGGGGAAGAUAACAAAGUGACAUCUAUGUCUUUGGAAAGAGAGACAGCAAACGAGUUGCCUGACUCCCUGGGAAAGGGCUUGGUGGAGGAGUUUGGGUGCUACCCCAAAACUCCCUGCCAGUGACAGGAGACUGGUGAGGGCAAAAUCUCCAGUGUGGCUGUGGGACAAGGAUGGCAGCACUGCAAACAGCUCUACCUGCCAGGAGCAAAAUGCUAGAGAAAUACAUUUGGAAAAUCUUGCGGGAUUUUUCUGGGAAAAGUGUGGCUGAGUACGUGGCCAUCGUGGAGAGCCACACGAGCAGCAGUUGUGUAUCUGCAGCUGCAGGUAAAGGUGGGCACGCACUGACAUGAGACCCGAUCCAGUUACGGCCCAAAUUUCAGAGCUCAUGAGCAACCACUGAAAUCCUGGUGGCCAGUCUUAGCUGAAAAGCAGACCUCACCAAAACAUAGGUGAACUCAUGGGCACUCGGACUGAGGCACUUAAAACAGGCGUAUCUUGUCACUUGUAAGAUGUCUCUGCUUGGUCACAAGCUCUGCCUGCAUCACUUCCCACCAGAGACUGUAUUGAUGGGUUUGAACUUUCCAGGAGGAAAGGAGGUUGUGGGUGCUUAAAAUAAAGGCAAAAGCCUGGGGAAGAAAUAGUAUUGAGAGAGAUUGGGCUAGACUGGAUUGGAUUGGAGGAUCAGGAUUAACCUUCACCCAGUAGUUUUCCCCCUUUCCUUAGAUAUUCCAAGGAAUACCAGCUCCCAUUGGCACUGCAGCGGUCUCGAUAUGUCAGACCUCAGCCCCUACCCCACUUCUUUCCAGGUUUGAAGAGAUGCUUUAUCUUGACUAAUCUGGGCUAACCCAUGGGCACGUCCCACUGGCUUUCCCGGCAGGAGAUGCGGUCCAAAAGAAGGAAUCACACCUGGGGAGAAAGAAGACUCACGGGAAUCAUUGAGGAAGGGAAGGAGUGGAGCAGACAUCCCUCCUUCCAGCAGGUUUAGGGCCUAUUCUUUGGUGUGUUUUACUGGUCCAAAAGCAGUGCAACCAUCUGUCCUGCUGAAUUCCUCCCAAAUGCUCCCAUCGCAGCAUGACCGGUAUGAAUGCCAGCAGCUGGAAGACUGAAAUAGCAGCUACCAUUGCUUAGGCCCCACUGAUUUGUCCUGUGGUUUUUCUGUGUCCUUUCAUCUCCAGUAAAUAAUCCCUCACUUCCUUGCGGUCUUUCUAAUUCCAUGCUCUGCGCCGGCACUUCCUGUAAACAGUGGGGCUGGUGGCCCAUGCACGGCCACCGCCGUGUAAUUGCGGCUCUCCCCAGCCGCGCAAGGGGCAUGUGACAAGGCUGUUUUUCAGGCUGGAUGUGGCCGUGUCCGAGGGCUAAAUAAUGGAAACGCCUGAUUCUCCUCUCCAUCCAGCUGGGAGAAGUCAGGGCUGGCUCUGAUGAGGCCGAUGAAUGAUAUAAGUGUAAAGACAGCACAUGUGAGAGCAUCAGGGCCCGGCACCGAAAGAAAUGCGCCGUCUGGUCUCCAGCAAUCAUGAUUAGGCUAGCACUUGAAAGCAAAAUUAGACUAAAUUAAGGGCAAUGAGGUCCCUCCAGCACAAGUUUGCACUGGUGCUUGCUCUUCCGUGCAGGAGCCAUGUCCCAUGCAGCAGACCUUGCUCAGCCCUUAAUUGCCAUGUCUCUGGUCUAAAAUUUUGAGUGGAGUCCUAAAAUUAAAGAAAGAGAGGAAGGGUCUGUGCUGAGUGAAGGUCCUUCCUGAUGUUCGUUGCCCCACGGGCUUGAUCCUUUGCACUCUUGUAGGUAAGAGGCCUCCAGGUCCUCUGGGGCACUCUGACAGCAAGGGGGGUUGAGAAGGCAUUUUCCUGAUCAAAAUAUCUUCAGCUGCUUUAUGACUCCAGUAGCUGUAGGAUUUGGGUAUCAGAUACCCAUCCCCAAGCCUAAGAGAAUUUAUUUUCCCCAGGUGAGUUUGUGUUAAACCGAUGGUGGAUCAAAGAGGGUUGUGACAAGAGCUGGGCUGCGCUUUUUGGGUGGUACAGCUUUUCCUCCUUUCUGAUAGCUCAUCUCUCCAGGUUUCUGUUGGCCGGUGGAUCCCUCUACAGACACCCAAGCAUCCAACAAACCAUUUCUGCAGGAACAUCUUUGAUCCCAAUAUCUCUUGGGCUCUCACUUGUGCUUGUCCUGGCCAUCCGUGUGCAUGGGGUUUCUGCACAUGCCUGGCUGGAAAAUGAUGGUGUGAGUGUGCUUACGGAGGUGGUUGUGGAGACGGAUGGGUGCAAUCCUGCCAGCCCUGCCAAUAUUUGUAACUUGCAACAUUAGUGCUUAUGUAUUUACACAACUAUAGGAGUGGUCCUAUAACCGGACCCUUCACACGUGCUCCUUCCCAGCAUAGCUGCUUCCAGAAAUCUCCAGGUUUCAAUCCAUUGGCUAUUUCAUGUAAGUCCCAAUUUAUGUAUGUUCUUUUCAUAAGCUCCCCAGAGCCAAGCCAUGAUGGCUAAGGGAAACCUGCUCAGUCUUUCAGCAUUAACAUCUCAAUUAUCAGAGCACUGGCUUCUUCCACAUGAGGAUUGCGUGUGUGUGUGUUGGCACUCCUUAAAGUAUUUUUGGAGCUGAAGCGUAAGCAGGGACUCAGUUUGGCAUGGCAUUGGGGGUGCUGAAAAAAAUGCCAGGAGGAAAAGGCCAACCUCAAUUUGUGUCAUUUAAUGCCACUUAACGUCUGUCACCUUGUUUAGAAUGGGACAGUAAAUACCAAAUACGUAGUAGAGCUGAGUUUUUCCAUUAAAUACUAACGACCCAGUUGUAUCUCACCAUGGUGCUUGUAUCAUUGGGAAUUGCGUGCAUCCUGCAGCUGGCUGAUGCACUGAGACCCGAGCAGUGGGGGUCCUGCUCCGUGUGCUCUGGUGUUGACUAAAGGAAGCCAGGAGGGCUGAUGCAAGGAAGCAGGUGGGAAGUUUGGGUUUCUGGCUGCCCACGCAGCUCCAGAAUGACUGAAUGUUAGCAGGAGCAAUCCCAGAGCAUCCCAUGGAGAUCAGAUGGGGGGAGACAAUUUCCUUGCUCCUCAGAGGAUUGGGAAUUGCCGGCUUUUUUCAUGACCGCCUUUCCCUUGCGAAGUAGAUGCCGCGUUAUCGCUGUUGGUUAAAACAUAGCCUGACGCAAAAUCAGACUAGAACAAAACUCCUGCAAGCUCUUAGAUGGCUCCCUGAGUCCUCUUGAAAGCGUCACAGGUGUGGAUGAAACUACCCCAUUCUGUAUGUAUUUAUGGCUGCUUUCAGGGAUCUCCCUGGCCUCAGGCUGACCAUGUGCCUCCACUGCUCCAUUUUUUCCAACAGUGGGGAUGUGAGAAGCCUCGAGAGGGGAAGAAGUGCUUCGCCCGGGGAAGCAGUAGGAGCCCUUGAGACCUGAAGCCAAGAAUCCUUGCCUGGAGCUGGUCCCUUUGGCUCCAGGCACUGCUGAGCUUGCUGGUGGAGAAAACCACCACAUUGGAUCAAACCGCUGUUAAAGGAGACUUCACAAAAGUGAAUAGCUAGUGGUCAAGAGCUGCCAGACUGCUGCUUUCUCAGUAACUAAUAAAAGUGCUUUUUAACACAUUUAAUGUGAUGUCUUGCUAAAGGCUGAAGGAAAUUGGAAUUGAGACAUUUGUAUUUUGACGGACUCUGUGGAAAACUUCUGUUCAGACUGGUAGGAAUGAAACCAAUAAAUUUCUGAAGAAACUUUCUGAAUUCAGCCUUCAAGAUAAUAGAUAGGCUGUUCUCACUGCGGAUAAAUAAACUCUGUUUUUAUAAGCGUUUAAAGACCUUCAGGAUGACGAAGUGGAACAUACUUCAAGUCUCCAAAGAUGGGAAGUGGCUUCUGAGUCAAAUGCCCUCCUGUGCCAGGGCUCAUAUUUUAGACUGAGAUCACUCUUUUGUGACUUGUUGACAGGUUUUUUGUUGUACUUUGAAGAAAAAAAGGGAAAACGUCCCAGGCUGAAAAUAGUAGCGAAACAUUCCCCAACUGGUCAACCUGUUCUUCAAGAAAACUUCCCAGAGAACGUAAAGCUUCAGCAGCAGCCCCAAAAAUGCCAGCUAAGAAAUGGCACGUCAAGCAAAGAUUGGGGUGAAAAAACUCUAUUUUGGGUGACAACAGCCCCUGCCUGAGCAUUGUUCAUCUCUGAUCUCGUGGUGAAGGUGACCACUUGAGGAAGGAAGAUUUGGUUCCCACCAGGAAACGCUUAGAGGGUGGACUCUCGAGGUGGGAAAGGUGGGAGCAACUCACUCUCUUUUUGCCUCCCCUCUCGCGAAGACCAACCCUACUUGCAAUUCUUGCCCUCUCUGGCAGCAGCUGCAGCCAUCCCAAAGGCAAGUGAUGAAAAGGCUGGAUCAGAGCUCAUGCCUUCUGGAAAAGCAGGGCAGGUCUCUGCAUUUGUGCAAGGCCGGGGCUUAAUUCUGCAAAUGAAACCAAAACAGAUGCAACCCAGAGCCAUGGGUGGCGAGCAACGCUGAAGCAUUAGCACUAAGCUUUGUUUGCUUCGUUCUCCUGCGUAUCUACCGCCUGAUGUGAACUGUUCAGUCUGCUGGACAGAAGCCAGCAGGUUAUGCUUUAUUUGAAUUGAAUAUACAGUCAUAUUUCUGGAGGAAAAAAGAGACGAGUCACAUAUCCAGGGUAGAGCCCAAACCAGGCUGAUGGGCUCCGAGUGGACACGGGCGCCUGCGGUGGCACGUGGCCAAAGGAUGGUCGUGGCACGAGGGCGGCACGCUGGAGCAGCAUGCCUCGAGGUCAAACACCAGUGUGAUGGCCAAGUCGCUGAGGCUCAGAGAAGAGGCACCGGAGCAUUUCAAGGGCUGGCUCAAGGAGCUCCGACUCUGGUUUCUCAGAGAGAAAAGGAAGGGAGAGCGGGUCAGGGCUUGUGAGGUACAAAGGUGAUGGAAAUGGGGGAGUAAUGGGAUUUAGGAGGCAAAGUCUUACAAGAUGGCUGCAAAUGGGCUCCCAAGGAAUCCAGCCUGUGAAAAAGGCUCUAUUAUUUAAAAGUCAUUAAUCAGGGAAGUAACUUAGCAAAGCUUGUGCUGAUCCUCCACUGCUGAGAAUGUUUUGAUCAAGACUGAUCCCUCGCCCCCAGAGCAGAUGCUCUAAUUCGUGUGGAGAUGAAUUCAGGUCUGAGCUGCCCCAGGGAGGAGCCUGGAUGGCUGCAGCAACCCACCCUGCCUCCAGACUGGAUUAGGGAAAGGCAGGUUGUCCUUGCCAAGGAGGCGAGGGGGAGCAGUGAAGGGUCUGGAGGAGGUGCUGAGGCUUUGACUCAUGUGCAGAAGAUUGCCCAGGAGCAGGAAGAUGCAUCAGCAUCCCUCUGCCUUGGCACAUGGGCCGCCCUGCGCCUCUCCUGCCGCCUCAGCAGCACCUCCAGGGCUCUGGCUGCUGGUGGUGGGGGCAGAGGGGGGCUUUUUUUCUAACAGGGGAAAAAAAAAAAAAAAAUAAUCUGCUUGCAAUUAACUAGCUCACACUCCGGCUGGCUGCAGGAAACGUGCGCUCCUGCCGCCAGAGACACCACAGUUGCUACAGCAACUGCAAAGCACGGAGACUCGUCAACACCCUCCCUCUGCCACCCUCCACCCCCCCAAAAUAAGGCAGAGAGGGAAGGUGGUGAUGGGGAGACAAAGCAGCUGGUAGGGAUGACCCCCGGCAGUCGGGGCCAGGGCUGCUACGUGCUCUGCUCCCAACCUGCCACGGCCAGUGCCCGGGCACCGCUGCGUUCCCGUCGGUCCUGAUGAGCACUUGGUUUCCAGGUCAAUAUGAAUUUGUUCACCAGCUCUGUAACCCAGGGAUGGCCUCCCAGAGCGCACGCAGCCCCCCGAGCCUGCCUUCCCACCCUAGGCAUCUUCCCUGCAGGGAUCUGCGGGAGGGCAGUGCGGGGUCAGAUCCUCGGCUCUUGUUCAGCUGCUGGGGCCGGUGUGGGAGCUCUCGGGACGGGGAUACGAUGCUGGGGAUGCUGCGGGGAGCACCGCAGCGAGGGGGGGCGAUGGGAGGCUAAAACCAAGCUGUGCUUUGCAAGCACCUGCCAUCUCAUUACUGUUUAAAUCGGGCUUUCCGUGGUUCCCAGCGCUGGGCCAUCCUGCCUCAGCACAUGGUUUCCCCUGGUGCUCCUCUCUUAAAUAUUUAAUGGCAGGAGGAAGAGCUGUUUUCAGAAACGCUUCAGUGCUUCCAUCUGAACAGAAGUUUUUUUCAGGUGGCCAGAGCAGACAAGAAAAGCUUUGGCUGUAAUUUUUCAGGAUCCUUCGGCUAUUGAAGGGGUGGCGGCAUGAUGGCUCAGAGUAGGAGGGAAAGGAGAGUUGUUUCAGAUGCCUGGAGAGAUAAGGACUCCUGAGGUCUGGCCUGCAUCCUCUUCCUGACUCCGUGCCACUGUGGCUUGAUUUUGUACACUAAAACACAUGAAUUAGGCUUCAGAUUUGGAGCUUUAGUGGACACUGUUUGAAGAUCACCUGCCCCCAGAUCUUAGCCGGGUACUCUGUCCUCCCCACCACCUCUGGAUGUGUCAGGUUUGCUGAGUGCCAAGGAUAUAACAGAGAUUUAAAGGCAUCCACCUGCCAGAGACUUCCUAAGGAUUUACUGGAGUUUAUGAAGUGGUGUGAAAAGCCUGGAUAAAAUCGCUGUGGAAGGAAAUGUGUUUUGAUCCCAGCCAAAUCAUCAAUCAGGCCAUCCUUAAUACAAAUGACUGCUUGAGAUGCGGCUGAUACAAGAGGGGAGGGCUGUGCUUCUCCUUCGUUCGGCAGUCCCGUGUCCCAGUGCAUCCACUCCUAUGGGGACCAGCUCAGUUAUUGCCAGUACUUGGAGCAAACCUGUGUCCAUGCAGAUGUCCCACACCUGCGCGUCAGGGGGUGGGAUGCCAGCGGGGCUAAUGGAAAUGUUGCCAUGUUAUCUCCCUAAUAAAACCCAUUUCCUCACAGGGCA